rnacentral:rRNA from 1 species
ACGGAGGAUCCAAGCGUUAUCCGGAUUUAUUGGGUUUAAAGGGUGCGCAGGCGGAUCAAUAAGUCAGGGGUGAAAAAUUUCAGCUUAACUGGAAUCGUGCCUUUGAUACUGUUGGACUAGAGUAUAAUUGACGUGAGUGGAAUGUGAUGUGUAGGGGUGAAAUGCUUAGAUACGUGGGGGACCACCUGUAGCGAAGGCAGCUCACCAGAUUAGUUCCGACAGUGAGGCACGAAAGCGUGGGGAGCAAACAG